rnacentral:lncRNA from 1 species
GGCUGCAUAAAGGGAGUAAACCAAAGUACAUUUGACCACAAGAUGACUUUUUAAAAGCCAGAACUAUGGUAGCAUGAAGCCAACUGAGGGCUCCACAGAAGUCUCCAAUCUUUAAAUCUUCAGUCUAUGAAAGCACAGAUUCCUGAAAGGAUGGCCUCAAAUGACCAGGACUAGGAGCUCUCUAUAUCCCUGCUCCUGAAAAACAAGCUAACUGGAGUCUCCAUCACCUGCCCCCAGCUAGACACACUACCAACUACCCAACUGAACUCCAUGACUGAUUUGCCAGCCAAUCAUGCCCCUGACCCAGCCCACAUGGACAUGGGAAGGACAUCAGUGAAUCGGGAAAAGAGGCAGAGGUGAG